rnacentral:rRNA from 1 species
AUGCUUCGAUCGGUCCGUUCUUCCCAGCCGAACCGGAGGCAAUCGCAUCAAUGGCGGAGGUCUAUGCUAGUAGUGGUACAUCGGUGGCGGAGGCGGCGGCUAUCGUCGGUGGUUGCCGGAGAGGCGGUUGAGCCAGGCGUUGCGGAGCUGGAGCUCGAGGGGCUCGCCGAAGCACUGCGCGCGGGCGAGGCAGAAGUGGGUGCAGAAGCCGGAGGGCGAGCGGACGCGGCAGGUGUCGAGGACGUAGCAGGCGGCGCACUCCAUCCCGCGGGCCUGCACCACCAGGCCCCACACCUGGCGCGCCGCCUCGGCGCCGUCCUCCACCGCCGCGGCGGCCACCUGCUCGACCAGGAUGAUGCCGUCGGGCCGGCGCUGGCCGCCCGGGCCCCAGCGGCGCCGCACGUCGGGCCAGGCCUCCGCCGAGGCCGGCUCGCGCCGCACCGUGACGCCCUCCCGCCCGUCGCUGAACAGGUGCACCAGGAACGGCGCCUCCCCGACGUGCCGCACGAUCUCCGCGAUCGACUCCCGCAUCCACCCCUCCACCCUCUCCUCCCCGACCACUUCCUCCACCUCCUCGCCGUCGCCCCCGAUCACGGCCUCCAGCAGCCCCGCCUCAUCCCGCCCCUCCCGCCGGAGCUCCAGCCCCCGGUACGGCGCGUCCGCGACCGCGGCCCGCAGCGGGCGCACGGACGACGCCCGCCGCGGCAGGGCCGGCAGGAAGGACGACCGCUGCACCGCCCGACGCGGCGAGAGCCCCACCGACGACGCCGACGCCGGGCCGCACCCCCGCACGGAGGUUGCCGCCGCUGCCGCCAUCGACCGGCGCGCGACCUCCUCUUCGCGCGAGCGACGCCCUUCGGUCUGACGGACGGACGGCUCCGGGGAUCGGUCGGUGGUAAAUAG